GGAUGCGAUUAUAGCAGCCUUAACGCACCGGAUCCCAUCAGAACUCCGAAGUAAAGCUUGCUUGGGCGAGGGAAGUACUUGGAUGGGUGACCCCCUGGGAAUUCUUCGUGUGGCAUCCC